rnacentral:rRNA from 1 species
GAUGAACGCUGGCGGCGUGCCUAACACAUGCAAGUCGAGCGAUUUACUUCGGUAAAGAGCGGCGGACGGGUGAGUAACGCGUGGGUAACCUGCCCUGUACACACGGAUAACAUACCGAAAGGUAUGCUAAUACGAGAUAAUAUGCUUUUAUCGCAUGGUAGAAGUAUCAAAGCUCCGGCGGUACAGGAUGGACCCGCGUCUGAUUAGCUAGUUGGUAAGGUAACGGCUUACCAAGGCGACGAUCAGUAGCCGACCUGAGAGGGUGAUCGGCCACAUUGGAACUGAGACACGGUCCAAACUCCUACGGGAGGCAGCAGUGGGGAAUAUUGCACAAUGGGCGAAAGCCUGAUGCAGCAACGCCGCGUGAGCGAUGAAGGCCUUCGGGUCGUAAAGCUCUGUCCUCAAGGAAGAUAAUGACGGUACUUGAGGAGGAAGCCCCGGCUAACUACGUGCCAGCAGCCGCGGUAAGAUCACGUGUA